rnacentral:rRNA from 1 species
AUUGAACGCUGGCGGCAGGCAUAACACAUGCAAGUCGAACGAGUGGCGGACGGGUGAGUAAUGUCUGGGGAACUGCCUGAUAGAGGGGGAUAACUACUGGAAACGGUAGCUAAUACCGCAUACCAUCGGAUGUACCCAUAUGGGAUUAGCUAGUAGGUGGGGUAAAGGCUCACCUAGGCGACGAUCCCUAGCUGGUCUGAGAGGAUGAACAGCCACACUGGAACUGAGACACGGUCCAGACUCCUACGGGAGGCAGCAGUGGGGAAUAUUGCACAAUGGGCGCAAGCCUGAUGCAGCCAUGCCGCGUGUAUGAAGAAGGCCUUCGGGUUGUAAAGUACUUUCAGCGGGGAGGCGUUACCCGCAGAAGAAGCACCGGCUAACUCCGUGCCAGCAGCCGCGGUAAUAC